GGAGAGAUGGCAGAGUGGUCGAUUGCGGCGGUCUUGAAAACCGUUGAACCGAGAGGUUCCGUGGGUUCAAAUCCUACUCUCUCCG
rnacentral:tRNA from 1 species